CCCGGGAGCCCCUCCUCAAGAUUUAAUUUCCCUGAGGCCCAGGGGAAGAUGCUCGCUGGGUUUUUGGAGGAGACAUGAUGUAAAUUACGCUUCUGAGACAGCAGGGACACCACUAUCCUCUCGCGACGUCUCACUUGCUCUGCCAAUCACCUGAGUAGGAAAACAGAACCCGAAGAGAUGGCGCGGGAGUUGGGGUUGGGGUGGAGGUGUUGGGGGGAGCGUGUGGCCCACUGGAUAUCGGUUACCAGCCCUGGGUUCGAUCCCCAUCUGGUAUGCUGCGGCGCUGCAGUGGUAGGAUGGAGGCGGUGGGCUAUCCUCGGCGUCAAAGUGAAUUCAAGGCAAGCCUGGGUUAAGUGAGAAUGAAAUGAAGCGAAGAUGGGAAAAAUAACUCUGCCUUUGAUGAAAUGCACGCUCAUAUAACCCAAACCGCACCCAUGCAUGCUGCGGUUCAGACCCUCACUGAUGAGUCUGUCCGCUGUCUGGGCUCCUACUUGGAAGCCUGCUCCAGGUAAAUGGAUGCUCCAGACAUCCCCCUGCUUUCCUAACCCGUAACUGACCAGCCCGGACGCUUCCAUCCCCCUCCCUACAGGCCGCUACUCCCUCCAGCCCACCGGACCUGCUUUCUCUCAAAGCCCUAUAGUUUCCUUCUAAGUUCACUGGGAGACAAAGAACCCACAAAGGGGACCCCGAGUUCCCCAGUUGGGAUGACACUAGUGAAAUCGGCCGUGCACCAAGCCAGGGGAUUCAGCCUCGAGGGCCACAACUCUUUAAGGGGCGACGUCUCUUCGGACCUCACCCGCAGAGCGCAGAGAAGUCGGCAAACCGCUCAAGUCGAGCAGCAGAAAUCUCGGUCUGGCAAACAGAGCCCCGGGCAAACUUGGGCGUGCUCAAGCGUCUUUGGGGAGGUUACUCCAGUCCAACCCGAGCGAGAGAAGACAGACUUGGAGAAAGUGUAGGAAAGGGAACAAUUACAGGAAAUGCCCUGUAAGGCUGGCUAAGCCUCAGCUAGAAGCCGCGGGAAAGCAGCCCUCACCGGGAAGGUGGAACGAGCGCGCCCUCUGCUGGUGCCUCCUGCAGCACUGGAUUCCUAUGGAGCCAGGAAGACUCGAGAGGACGCUCUGAUACCCAGCUUGGGCACCAGUAUUUAGAAAUGGCUCGGGUACCCCUACAGGUGCCUUCUCCUACCCAGGAAACCGUCCCCUUCCCCCACCCUAUUGAGGCUGGAGUUUCCCUCUUGGUCCAGCCCAUCCGUCAGCUCAGAGUGAAUAGCUAUUGAUUUCAGGAAGGAAACCGCACACGGGUGAGUACACACCCUUCUCAGACCAGCUCCUCACGUGACCCUCCUCCGUUCACCAACCUGAAUGUGACCUUUAAAGGGGAAGAGGCCUUUUAAGAGCUCACAGAUUUACAUUCAAGGCCAGAGCUAGAACUGGGGAGGUCACAUUGGAGAGGUAACCUUGAAGAGGCAGAAGGGAUAUCUGAAGUGAGGAGAAAGGGCGGGGGGGGGGGUAGUGAGAGGAGCCCAGCUGGCCUCAGGCACUACUUAAGAACCCUAGCAAGUUUCUACGGGCUGGGGCUGCAACAGGAGCCCUGGAAGAACACACCCGUUGUGUGCUCCUGUCUCUGUGUGCUUUGAAGCUGAUUGUGGAACACAGUCACAGUUUAAAAUCCUAUUUUCAAAGGAACCCAUCCCUCCAAACGUUAAGCACCCUUGCUGUAGGCCAGGCUCUCUGUAAUUGGGGAAACAGAGGGUUUGAGCCAUUGUGUCAUUUGUCCCUGGUGACAGAGCCAGCAGGCCUGGUUGAGAUAGAUACUAGUGAAAGAGACCAUGUUUUGAAGGACCCCAGCCUCAGGUCUGGCCUAGGCAACCUGCUGGCCCUUCCUCGGUGCCUUAACCCAUACAGCUCUGCCAGGCACAUGACUCAGCUGCCACAGCCUCCUGCUCAGCCACUGCUCCCUCUGAUUCAGCUAUUAUCACCUAGGUCUGCACUCCAGGCCAAAAGCCUAGGGAUACCCCCGACACACAAACACAAACACACACACACACACACACACACACACACACUCCCUCAGCAAAUCUGGUCGGGCUGAUUUCCACUUGCUUAGCUGCUGCACACCUUGGCCACCAUCUACGCUGAGGCUACACAACCCCUGGAAGUCCUUCGAUCUGUAUUCCACCCAUCCACAUGGCCUCUCUGUUUCUGUCGAUGUGCCCUACCCAUGCUGGCCUCAGGGCCUUUGAACCUGGUCCACACUCAGUCUGUAGUGUUCCUCCCACACCUUCCACACAGCUCCCAUCUCCACCUUUAGGUCAGACUUGGCUUUCUCACGAGGCUUUGUAAGACUUCCACACCGAUUAUCUCUCUAUUUCUAUCAUCAUUUCCUGUGACACUGUCUCACAUUUGCUUUAUGAAUUGACUUAGUUCCUCAACACCUCUCUUCCCCAGGCAGGGGUGGGAUCUGCAGAAGAGAGGCUACGGUUGCCCAGAUCCCUGUUCAGUUCCUAGCACCUAGGACGGACUUCGUAGCAUGUUGAGGGUCACUGUGAGCUCAGGACUCUGCAGUUACAAGUGAGGUCCAAACACAUUCAGUCUAGAGACAAGGCCAUCCAUCCAAGUCCAGAGGAACAAGACAACUUCACAUCCUCAGCUGCCACUUCCGUGCCCCUCUGACCUGGGGGUCACUCGGAUGCCCAGCCUCUGACUUCAAUCCUCAGCAUCUCCAAGAACUUGAGGCUGAGAGGAAGAAGCCGUGACUGUGCCAUCUGUGAGUGGGACAGCAUCACUCGCUGGCUGCUAGCCCAGGUUCCUUCAGCUUGUAGGUAAAGGUGCUUACUGCCAAGCCAGACGGCCCGACUUUGGACACUGGGACGUGCACGGUGUAAGGAGGGAACCAACAUGUGUACUGUGACACCCUGCCCCUCCAGGCAUAUAAUAGUCAUCUUAAUCACAUUGAAAAGUCAGCUCUAGGACUAGAGCUCAGCGGUUAAGAGGAUUGACAGCUCUUCAAGAGGUCCUGAGUUCAAUUCCCAGCAACCACAUGGUGGCUCACAACCAUCUGUAAUGGGAUCUGAUGCCCUCUUCUGGUGUGUCUGAAGACAGCUGCAGUGUACUCAUAUACAUAAAAUAAAAUAAUAAAUCUUUUUUAUAAAAGAAAGAAAAGAAAA